rnacentral:rRNA from 1 species
AGUGAACGCUGGCGGUAGGCCUAACACAUGCAAGUCGAACGGCCGCACAGUAAGAGCUUGCUCUUACUGUUGGCGAGUGGCGGACGAGUGAGGCAUACAUCGCAAUCUACUUUUUCGUGGGGGAUUACGUAGGGAAACUUAUGCUACUACCUCAUACGUCCUACGGCUUAAAGCAGGAGAUCUUCGGACCUUGCGUGUUUGUAUGAGCCGAUGUCGGAUUAGCUUGUUGGCGGGGUAAGGGCCCACCAAGGCGACGAGCCGUAGCUUGUCUGAGAGGAGAAUGAGCCACACUGAAACUGGGACACGGCCCAGACUCCAAGGGGAGGCAGCAGUGGGGAAUAUUGGAAAAUGGGGGAAAGCAUGAGCCAGCAAUACCGGGUAGGUGAAGAAGGCCUUCGAGUGGUAAAGCCCUUUUGUAGGGAAAAAAAAACAGCAGGUUAAUACCCCGCUGUUCUGACGGUACCAAAAAAAUAAGCACCGGCUAACUUCGU